rnacentral:rRNA from 1 species
ACGGAAGGCAGCAGUGGGGAAUCUUGCACAAUGGGGGAAACCCUGAUGCAGCGACGCCGCGUGAGCGAUGAAGCCCUUCGGGGUGUAAAGCUCUUUCGGCAGGGAAGAUGGUGACGGUACCUGCAGAAGCAGCUGCGGCUAACUACGUGCCAGCAGCCGCGGUAAUACGUAGGCAGCGAGCGUUGUUCGGAGUUACUGGGCGUAAAGGGUGCGUAGGCGGCCUAUUAAGUUUGUCGUGAAAUCUCCCGGCUCAACUGGGAGGGUGCGGCGGAUACUGAUGGGCUUGGAGUGCGGGAGAGGAGAGUGGAAUUCCUGGUGUAGCGGUGAAAUGCGUAGAUAUCAGGAGGAACACCGGCGGUGUAGACGGCUCUCUGGACCGUAACUGACGCUGAGGCACGAAAGCGUGGGUAGCAAACAGGAUUAGAUACCCUGGUA